rnacentral:rRNA from 1 species
AACGAACGCUGGCGGCAGGCUUAACACAUGCAAGUCGAGCGCCCCGCAAGGGGAGCGGCAGACGGGUGAGUAACGCGUGGGAAUCUACCUUUUGCUACGGAAUAACUCAGGGAAACUUGUGCUAAUACCGUAUGUGCCCUUCGGGGGAAAGAUUUAUCGGCAAAGGAUGAGCCCGCGUUGGAUUAGCUAGUUGGUGGGGUAAAGGCCUACCAAGGCGACGAUCCAUAGCUGGUCUGAGAGGAUGAUCAGCCACAUUGGGACUGAGACACGGCCCAAACUCCUACGGGAGGCAGCAGUGGGGAAUAUUGGACAAUGGGCGCAAGCCUGAUCCAGCCAUGCCGCGUGAGUGAUGAAGGCCUUAGGGUUGUAAAGCUCUUUCACCGGUGAAGAUAAUGACUGUAGCCGGAGAAGAAGCCCCGGCUAACUUCGUGCCAGCCGCCGCCGUAA